rnacentral:rRNA from 1 species
GGCGUAGGCGGGCUAAUAAGUCAGUGGUGAAAUCUCUCGGCUCAACCGGGAAACUGCCAUUGAUACUGUUAGUCUUGAGUUCGGUUGAGGUAGGCGGAAUGUGUAAUGUAGCGGUGAAAUGCUUAGAUAUUACACAGAACACCAAUUGCGUAGGCAGCUUACUAGACCGACACUGACGCUGAGGCACGAAAGCGUGGGGAGCGAACAGGAUUAGAUACCCUGGUAGUCC